rnacentral:rRNA from 1 species
AGUGAACGCUGGCGGUAGGCCUAACACAUGCAAGUCGAACGGCAGCACAGUAAGAGCUUGCCCUUACGGGUGGCGAGUGGCGGACGGGUGAGGAAUACAUCGGAAUCUACUUUUUCGUGGGGGAUAACGUAGGGAAACUUACGCUAAUACCGCAUACGACCUACGGGUGAAAGCAGGGGAUCUUCGGACCUUGCGCGAUUGAAUGAGCCGAUGUCGGAUUAGCUAGUUGGCGGGGUAAAGGCCCACCAAGGCGACGAUCCGUAGCUGGUCUGAGAGGAUGAUCAGCCACACUGGAACUGAGACACGGUCCAGACUCCUACGGGAGGCAGCAGUGGGGAAUAUUGGACAAUGGGCGCAAGCCUGAUCCAGCCAUACCGCGUGGGUGAAGAAGGCCCUCGGGUUGUAAAGCCCUUUUGUUGGGAAAGAAAAGCAGCAGGUUAAUACCCCGCUGUUCUGACGGUACCCAAAGAAUAAGCACCGGCUAACUUCGUG